rnacentral:rRNA from 1 species
GACGAACGCUGGCGGCGUGCUUAACACAUGCAAGUCGAGCGAGGCCCCUCCUUCGGGAGGGUGUCCUAGCGGCGAACGGGUGAGUAACACGUGGGCAACCUGCCCUCAGCUCUGGGAUAACUCCGGGAAACCGGGGCUAAUACCGGAUACGACCUCCACGGGCAUCUGCGGAGGUGGAAAGUUUUUCGGCUGAGGAUGGGCCCGCGGCCUAUCAGCUAGUUGGUGGGGUAGUGGCCCACCAAGGCGACGACGGGUAGCCGGCCUGAGAGGGCGACCGGCCACCCUGGGACUGAGACACGGCCCAGCCUCCUACGGGAGGCAGCAGUGGGGAAUAUUGCGCAAUGGGCGAAAGCCUGACGCAGCGACGCCGCGUGAGGGACGAAGGCCUUCGGGUUGUAAACCUCUUUCAGCAGGGACGAAGCGAAAGUGACGGUACCUGCAGAAGAAGCACCGGCCAACUACGUG